GUGGGGAAUAUUGGACAAUGGACGAAAGUCUGAUCCAGCGACGCCGCGUGAGUGAUGAAGGCCUUCGGGUUGUAAAGCUCUGUCAGGAGGGAAGAAUCAGCCCUGGGAACAAUACCCCGGGGCCGUGACGGUACCUCCGAAGGAAGCACCGGCUAACUCCGUGCCAGCAGCCGCGGUAAUACGGAGGGUGCAAGCGUUGCUCGGAAUUACUGGGCGUAAAGCGUGUGUAGGCGGCCCUGCAAGUUGGGUGUGAAAGCCCAAGGCUUAACUUUGGAACUGCGCCCAAAACUGUGGGGCUUGAGUGCCGGAGAGGGUGGUAGAAUUCCCAGUGUAGAGGUGAAAUUCGUAGAUAUUGGGAGGAACACCAGUGGCGAAGGCGGCCACCUGGACGGACACUGACGCUGAGACACGAAAGCGUGGGGAGCAAACAGGAUUAGAUACCCCUGUAGUCC
rnacentral:rRNA from 1 species